rnacentral:rRNA from 1 species
GACGAACGCUGGCGGCGUGCUUAACACAUGCAAGUCGAACGGAAAGGCCCUGCUUUUGUGGGGUGCUCGAGUGGCGAACGGGUGAGUAACACGUGAGUAACCUGCCCUUGACUUUGGGAUAACUCCAGGAAACUGGGGCUAAUACCGGAUAGGAGCUCUUGCUGCAUGGUGGGGGUUGGAAAGUUUCGGCGGUUGGGGCUGGACUCGCGGCUUAUCAGCUUGUUGGUGGGGUAGUGGCUUACCAAGGCUUUGACGGGUAGCCGGCCUGGGAGGGUGACCGGCCACAUUGGGACUGAGAUACGGCCCAGACUCCUACGGGAGGCAGCAGUGGGGAAUAUUGCACAAUGGGCGGAAGCCUGAUGCAGCAACGCCGCGUGCGGGAUGACGGCCUUCGGGUUGUAAACCGCUUUCGCCUGUGACGAAGCGUGAGUGACGGUAAUGGGUAAAGAAGCACCGGCUAACUACGUG